rnacentral:rRNA from 1 species
UACAGAGGUCUCAAGCGUUGUUCGGAUUCAUUGGGCGUAAAGGGUGUGUAGGUGGCGCGCUAAGUCGGGUGUGAAAUUUCGGAGCUUAACUCCGAAACUGCAUUCGAUACUGGCGUGCUUGAGGACUGGAGAGGAGACUGGAAUUCAUGGUGUAGCAGUGAAAUGCGUAGAGAUCAUGAGGAAGACCAGUGGCGAAGGCGGGUCUCUGGACAGUCCUGACACUGAGACACGAAG